rnacentral:lncRNA from 1 species
AGUCUCGCUCUGUCACCCAGGCUGGAAUGCAAUGGCACGAUCUCAGCUCACCACAACCUCCACCUCCUGGGUUCAAGCAAUUCUCCCACCUCAGCCUUCUGAGUAGCCAGGAUUACAGGUGUGUGCCACCACACCCAGCUAAUCUUUGUAUUUUCAGUUGAGACAGGGUUUUGCCAUGUUGGUCAGGCUGGUCUGGAACUCAUGACCUCAGGUGAUCCGCCCGCCUUGGCCUCCCAAAGUGCUGGGAUUACAGGCAUGAGCCACUGCGCCCAGCCUUUUUUUUUUUUUUUUUUUUUAAUUAUCAGAUGCCUGGUAACCACACCCAAAGGAAAGCUAUGGAAUGUUCUGUUGUUUUGCUUUUUUUUUUUUUUUUUUUAAUGGCUCAGCUCUGUUCAGGAAAAGGUUUAGUUUUCUAAGAAAAUUCCAAUAAUCUGAAUAAUGAUAAUUGCUGUCUAAACCUCCCUACAUAGUUGACGAUGCAUUGUUUCUCUCAUACCUUAUCUUUUGUAUAAAAAGAUAAACAUCUCUUUGGUUCUGUUUGCCUUCUGGUAAGGAAAGAAGUUGCACAGAGAAAGGCUGUUCUCCGGCUAAGAAGGAACCAAGAAGAAGUUGCCAACAUGGAGAGGCCCAGGGCAUGCUGGAGAGGGAAGCAGAGAGGCCCAGGGCAUGCUAGGAAGUAAAGCAGAGGGGCCCAGGGCAUGCUGGGAGGGAAGCAGAGAGGCCCAGGGCAUGCUGGGAAGGGGAAAUGGAGAGGCCUAGGGACCUUGGCUGCUAGACAGCUUGCUAUUCCAGGCUCCUCUUGAAAGCUCUUGUGCUCAGCUAGCUAGUCAUUGUGACUCAGCUCUGCCUGCGAAGCGCCUACAGUCUAGUUGAGAAGCGAGGAUUAAUUUAGGGCCAGCAGUGCCCAGUGGUCAGCUAAUGUGGUUAGGAUGGAGCCCUCACUUCAUUUGACACCAAGGCCUCUCACAACAUGGGAAAUAGAGCUUCUGGGAGCAUCCUUGGGAGCAACUGGGCUGUCCAGCUGGCACUGAAUGGAACUGAAUUUUCUACAGGAGGAACAGCUGCCAGGUCAUUGCACUUAGCACAGUUCCUGGCACCUCCACCUCCUCCAUCAUGACUGUUGACUGUGUGGAAUGGCUUGUUAUUGCACUGGCAGUGAGACUCACUUAAAGAAGGCAAUGUGAAACACCUGGGAUUUGGAACCUGAAACCUGAAUUCAAGAGACCAAACUUCCACUAACUGGACGAACCUUGGGCCAUUUACUCAAGCCCUCUGGACUUCAGUUUGUUUGUAUCCUGGAAAAUAUAAUAAGAUUUUUCCCUUCCUGCCUUAUAAUCAAAGAAGCUGUGAUGAUGUAAGAAAUAAGGUUUUGGAAAAUGCUCUGUAAAGAACUGUGUGAAUGACAGCUAUUAUUUUUCAUAAAGUGAUUUCUUUGGUGGGUUCAU